CAGCCGCUUCUCUUUUUUUUUUCUUCUUGUUUUUCAUUAAACUUUCAUUUUUUGGCCUGCUGCUGAUUAUUUCUCGAUCGGUGAUAUUUUCUUUUUUAUUUUAUUAAUUAGUUUUAAUAAAUAAAUAUUAGUAGGAGUUUUAUGGUCCUCCAUUAUGGGAGUUUUGAGUUCUCCUUAUAUACGAGUUUUAUAGUCAUCCAUUAUAGAAAUGUUGACUUAUCCUUUCUAUGAAAGUGGCAAAGAGAAAAAUAAAAAUCAAAU
rnacentral:lncRNA from 1 species